GUGCUUAUUUCACUGUCUAACCCUGCCCAGGCCCCGGGGAGAAGCCUGGUAUUCUUCGUGUUUAUUUAAUUGUCAACUCUCUGUGUUCUAAGACGAUACCCUGGCCUUGACUCAGUACAACCUAGGACUGUAAGUCCCAUCAUGUCUAUGGACUUCAGUUUCCAGACAUGAAACACAAGAGGCUUGGACGAGAUUAGAAAUCAAGAACUCGAAUGCGUAUGGUCAGAGCCACGAGAGUUUCCAUAAAGGAACACAACCAUGUGGACAACUUGAUUAUGCCCUACAAAACUGAAUUCCUGUGAGCAUUCCUCUUCAAGAUGGAAGAAAAAGGGAAUAUUUCACAACCCCAAUGGUGAAACGUCUGCCUAUAGCCAACAAUACAAUCUUCUUGCUCUGUCACCCAGGCUGAAAUGCAGUGGCGCCAUCUCGUCUCACUCGGCUCACUACAACCUCCGCCU
rnacentral:lncRNA from 1 species